ACUCCCCCUUCGCUUUUCUUAUCUGACCUCGCCUCAUUCCUAGCCACUCAACCAAAGAGAGCGGCAGAGAGACUUGGAAGAACCAAAAGGAAAAGGAGACCAAAGGCGUUUUCUUCUAGAUGUUUUCAGAAAGGUGUUCACGUCAUUUCCAGAUUCCAUGAAGAGAUAAUCUCCAAGGAUGAGCUAAGAAGAGCCAGUGAGAUUAAAGUAGACUGUGAGCCUUUGGCGGACUUCUCACAAGAACAGGAACUUGAGGAGGCAGAGUGGUGAUGAAAACCGAUCAUUUGAUCUAUCACAAUAUGUUCACUAAAUAUCGAUUGAGUGUCCACUGAUGCAUGGCACUGGAAAACCAUUCCAAAAAGAUAGAGCCAUUAACAAAAAGGGGCCUUACCUGUUCAAUACGUAUGCUAAUUAAUGGUCACAGCUGCAGCCUGGACAUCCUCCUAAAGAAUGCAGAGGGACCUGGAACCUAACAGAGCUUCAGGGAAGGUAUUUACAGUCCAUCUACCCUUUUGUCUGAUUGCCUAAUGUGUUCCAGCCACAGUGCUAGACAUUAUUAUAUCAU